UGGGGAAUUUUGGACAAUGGGCGAAAGCCUGAUCCAGCCAUGCCGCGUGAGUGAAGAAGGCCUUCGGGUUGUAAAGCUCUUUCAGGUGGAAAGAAAUCGCGCAGGAUAAUACUCUGCGUGGAUGACGGUACCGGAAGAAGAAGCACCGGCUAACUACGUGCCAGCAGCCGCGGUAAUACGUAGGGUGCGAGCGUUAAUCGGAAUUACUGGGCGUAAAGCGUGCGCAGGCGGUUAUGUAAGACAGAUGUGAAAUCCCCGGGCUCAACCUGGGAACUGCGUUUGUGACUGCAUAACUAGGGCACGGCAGAGGGAGGUGGAAUUCCGCGUGUAGCAGUGAAAUGCGUAGAGAUGCGGAGGAACACCGAUGGCGAAGGCAGCCUCCUGGGCCAGUACUGACGCUCAUGCACGAAAGCGUGGGGAGCAAACA
rnacentral:rRNA from 1 species